GAACCUCAGGAUGGUGCUAAUGUUCUGAGCAAUACAGUUUCCAGGUUUUCCUGAAUUGUCUUGUUGGUUUUCUGGAUUCUAGUCCACGUUCAAAGCCCAGAGCAAGAGCCCUGAAUGGUGGCUCCAAGGGCAGAAAAUGUUUUCCACAGAGAAACAAUUGAAUCUAAGAGAGGAGGAGAUUUAUGUUUGCAGACCUGGAAAUACACCAUGAAAUGGAAGGGGGAAUAAAGGAGAGAUGGGACAUAACUAGAGUGCUUGCUUGGACAUGAGAGAAUCACCUAGGAGCAAUGUUUCCUUACAAUAGAGUGGUAUUAGAGAAAUGGGCUGUCCAUGUAUUCUGUUCUUUCAAGACUGAUCCAUGUGGUACCAUGAAAGUGCUAGCAGAUGUUUUGGGAAGAAAAUGUGUAGUUCACAUCUGCCUAUACACCAUCUUCUGUAACCUCACUUUGACGAAAUGGGGUUGGAUUGUGGACACUGUCGUCUCUCAUUUAACAGUGAGUAUAUGUUCGCAAAGAGGUAUUCUUUCCUACUAUGACUACAAAAUUUGGGUAAUUAAUAUGCACUGCGUACUGGGAUGUACUGAUGAACAGUGGGACCUCAUUCCUACAUUCAGAGUUUAA
rnacentral:lncRNA from 1 species